rnacentral:snRNA from 1 species
UUCCACUCUCUCAAUUAUUUUGC